rnacentral:misc_RNA from 1 species
UCUAUGGAGAAUUGAUGAACGCUGUUCAUCAAUAUAAGUUUCCGUGUUUCGUUUUGUUCAGUUUUGAGAGAACUAUCUCUCAUAUAUAAAUGUAUGUUCUUUGAAAACUAGAUAACAGUGUAGCUCAUAUUCUUUAAUUUUUAGUUU